UUGGUUAAGUUAGAAAGGGCGCACGGUGGAUGCCUUGGCACUAGGAGCCGAAGAAGGACGGGACUAACACCGAUAUGCUUUGGGGAGCUGUACGUAAGCGUUGAUCCAGAGAUUUCCGAAUGGGGGAACCCACUAUCUUUAGUCGGAUAGUAUCCUUACGUGAAUACAUAGCGUGAGGAAGGCAGACCCAGGGAACUGAAACAUCUAAGUACCUGGAGGAAGAGAAAGAAAAAUCGAUUUCCUGAGUAGCGGCGAGCGAAACGGAAAGAGCCCAAACCAAGAAGCUUGCUUCUUGGGGUUGUAGGACACUCUAUACGGAGUUACAAAAGAAAGUUAUAAAUGAAGCGGUCUGGAAAGGCCCGCCAAAGACGGUAACAGCCCGGUAGUUGAAAUGGCUUUCCCUCCAGAGUGGAUCCUGAGUACGGCGGAACACGUGAAAUUCCGUCGGAAUCCGGGAGGACCAUCUCCCAAGGCUAAAUACUCCCUAGUGACCGAUAGUGAACCAGUACCGUGAGGGAAAGGUGAAAAGCACCCCGGAAGGGGAGUGAAACAGUUCCUGAAACCGUGUGCCUACAAGUAGUUAGAGCCCGUUAAUGGGUGAUAGCGUGCCUUUUGUAGAAUGAACCGGCGAGUUACGAUUUGUUGCAAGGUUAAGCGGAAAAAGCGGAGCCGUAGCGAAAGCGAGUCUGAAUAGGGCGCAUAAGUAACAGGUCGUAGACCCGAAACCAGGUGAUCUACCCAUGUCCAGGAUGAAGGUAAGGUAAUACUUACUGGAGGUCCGAACCCACGCACGUUGAAAAGUGCGGGGAUGAGGUGUGGGUAGCGGAGAAAUUCCAAUCGAACUUGGAGAUAGCUGGUUCUCUCCGAAAUAGCUUUAGGGCUAGCCUCGAGGUAAAGAGUCAUGGAGGUAGAGCACUGUUUGGACUAGGGGCCCUUCUCGGGUUACCGAAUUCAGAUAAACUCCGAAUGCCAUGUACUUAUACUCGGGAGUCAGACUGCGAGUGAUAAGAUCCGUAGUCGAAAGGGAAACAGCCCAGACCACCAGUUAAGGUCCCCAAAUAUAUGUUAAGUGGAAAAGGAUGUGGGGUUGCUUAGACAACCAGGAUGUUGGCUUAGAAGCAGCCACCAUUGAAAGAGUGCGUAAUAGCUCACUGGUCGAGUGACCCCGCGCCGAAAAUGUACCGGGGCUAAACAUAUUACCGAAACUGUGGAUGAACCUCUUUAGAGGUUCGUGGUAGGAGAGCGUUCUAAGGGCGGUGAAGUCAGACCGGAAGGACUGGUGGAGCGCUUAGAAGUGAGAAUGCCGGUAUGAGUAGCGAAAGAAGGGUGAGAAUCCCUUCCACCGAAUAUCUAAGGUUUCCUGAGGAAGGCUCGUCCGCUCAGGGUUAGUCGGGACCUAAGCCGAGGCCGAUAGGCGUAGGCGAUGGACAACAGGUAGAGAUUCCUGUACCAGUGCUAAUUGUUUAACCGAUGGGGUGACACAGAAGGAUAGGGAAUCGCACGAAUGGAAAUGUGCGUCCAAGCAGUGAGUGUGAGAAGUAGGCAAAUCCGCUUCUCGCGAAGCAUGAGCUGUGAUGGGGAAGGAAAUUAAGUACGGAAGUUCCUGAUUUCACGCUGUCAAGAAAAGCCUCUAGGAAGAGUAGUACUGCCCGUACCGCAAACCGACACAGGUAGAUGAGGAGAGAAUCCUAAGGUGAGCGAGAGAACUCUCGUUAAGGAACUCGGCAAAAUGACCCCGUAACUUCGGGAGAAGGGGUGCUCUAUUAGGGUGCAAGCCCGAGAGAGCCGCAGUGAAUAGGCCCAGGCGACUGUUUAGCAAAAACACAGGUCUCUGCAAAACCGUAAGGUGACGUAUAGGGGCUGACGCCUGCCCGGUGCUGGAAGGUUAAGAGGAGUGCUUAGCUUCGGCGAAGGUACGAAUUGAAGCCCCAGUAAACGGCGGCCGUAACUAUAACGGUCCUAAGGUAGCGAAAUUCCUUGUCGGGUAAGUUCCGACCCGCACGAAAGGCGCAACGAUCUGGGCACUGUCUCAACGAGAGACUCGGUGAAAUUAUAGUACCUGUGAAGAUGCAGGUUACCCGCGACAGGACGGAAAGACCCCGUGGAGCUUUACUGCAACCUGAUAUGGAAUGUUUGUACCGCUUGUACAGGAUAGGUAGGAGCCGAAGAGACGUGUGCGCUAGCAUACGAGGAGGCAAUGGUGGGAUACUACCCUGGCUGUAUGACCAUUCUAACCCGCCACGCUUAGCGCGUGGGGAGACAGUGUCAGGUGGGCAGUUUGACUGGGGCGGUCGCCUCCUAAAGAGUAACGGAGGCGCCCAAAGG
rnacentral:rRNA from 1 species